rnacentral:rRNA from 1 species
AGAGCGAACGCUGGCGGCAGGCCUAACACAUGCAAGUCGAGCGCCCGUAGCAAUACGGGAGCGGCAGACGGGAUAGUAACACGUGGGAACGCGCCCUUCGGUUCGGAAUAACUCAGGGAAACUUGAGCUAAUACCGGAUACGCCCUUACGGGGAAAGAUUUAUUGCCGAAGGAACGGCCCGCGUCCGAUUAGCUAGUUGGUGAGGUAACGGCUCACCAAGGCGACGAUCAGUAGCUGGUCUGAGAGGAUGAUCAGCCACAUUGGGACUGAGACACGGCCCAAACUCCUACGGGAGGCAGCAGUGGGGAAUAUUGGACAAUGGGCGCAAGCCUGAUCCAGCCAUGCCGCGUGAGUGAUGAAGGCCCUAGGGUUGUAAAGCUCUUUUGUGCGGGAAGAUAAUGACGGUACCGCAAGAAUAAGCCCGGCUAACUUCGUGCCAGCAGCCGC